ACAAAAACUGAGAAUGAAAAGUGUUCAGUAACUUCCUGCUGGCCCUAGAGCCAUAAUCAGUAAAGUUAUGAGCUGAGCCCAGAUAUACUUGAAUCUACAAGUCACGCUCUUUUCAGUGUUGUGAGGCUCUCUCUCAGUCUUGCAAUACAUUUGACCUAUAUCAGCAUUGUUCGAGGUUUGGAAAUUCUUAAUAUUACAACGUAGAGUCUUUAUUUCCUUUAUUUUAGAGAUAAUCUAGAAGCGGAUUUACUAACCUUUUAAAAAUUGAUUAGGGUUUUAACCUUUAAGGUUUAUUUACUUGCUGGGAGUAGAGUAUUUAUUCAAAGUGAUUUUAUCAUAGUAUGUAUAGUUGGCAAUAUUCAAAUAAAAAGUAGAUUAUUUUUUAAACACAGUUCCUUGGUAAAAUACAAGAUGUAAAAAUCAUCUUAUACCGUUAUGAAAAAUCAUUAUGAUCUUUAGAGUUGGAGGAAAAUAUUACCAGCAUGGGCUUCUCCUCUGUAAAGCAAAGCAAAACAAACUGAGCUUUAAGGAUCUAUAUCCCCACUUUCAUGAAAAUAAUAGCUAGCAUUUCCUGCCUUCCAGCUAUAUGCCAGGCAUUAUGCUAAACACUUCAUAUACAUUAUCUCAUUUCAUCUUCUUAGCAGCCCUGUGAGGUCAGUACUCCUUAUAUCCUCUUUUUGUAGAGGGCAAUUGAGGAUAGGAGGGAGGUUAGAUAACUGUUAUGGGUUGAAAUGCAUCCCUUUCCACUACACCCCAACUCCCUCCUCCCACCCCUGGGCCAAAGAUAUGUUAAAGUCCUAACUAUUAGUAUGUCAAAAGGUCACCUUAUUUGGAAACAGGGUCUUUGCAAGGUUAAUCAAGUUAAAAUGAGGUCAUGAGAGUGGGCCCUAAUCCAAUAGGACUAGUGUCCUUCUAAAAGGAAAUUUGGAGACAGAGAUCAACAAUCACAGAAAGAAGAAGGCUAUGUGACUGGAGCAAUACAUCUACAUGCCACAAGUCCCAAGGAUUACCAGCAAACACUAGCAGCUAUUAAAGGCCAGAAAGGAUUGUCACAUAAGGCAGCAAAGGGAUUUUAGUCCUGAAGACAUUUUGAUUUGAGAAUUCCAGCCUCUAGGACUGUCAGACACCAAAUUUCUAUUUAAGGCACCCAGUUUUGUACUUUUUUACAGCAGCUCUAGAAACUAAUACAGUAACUUUUCUAGGACAAAUCAAAGGCAAGUGAUCGGGCUAAUAUUUGGACAUAGGUGCCUACUAAGAGCUCAGUAAAUGUUAUCUGCUAUUACUAUUUAUAAUAUUAGCAAUAAUAUUUAAGUUGUUAAAUAUUAAUAUUAUUGCUAUUAUUAAUAAUAAAACUUAGGCCUAUUGCUGUUUGCCUUCUCCUAAGCAUCCACUCUGCUACAGUUGAGACUGGCUUGUCACAGAUUCAAAAACCCAUCAAUCUUACUCAAAACUGAAUAAGAAAUCAGUUAUCUAUACACAGGCAGCCGGCCAAGGUCAGACACCAGAGAGUCCCCACUUAAAGGAAAUGUGCCCUUAACAGUUUGUGUGAGACACGUGUGAAACAGUGAGAGAAAACUCAUGAAAUGAUCACUAAAUAUAGGCCUGGUACAUAAUAGCCACACCAACCUGAAACCCUACAUCCUGAGCAAGGGGAGACAGCAGAUCGUUGAAGUCCUGUGUUUUGAUUAGGAUUUAUGUGGAGAGGAUUAUUAUAGCUCUCAACUCUGCACUAAUGUCUAGCAUCUGAACAUGCAUCCACAGAAACAUAAUUCAGCUUCUUAAUUUUCCAGACCUGCAGAUAAUUGGUUCCAUAGAGACACAAAGACUCAUGCUCUCAACAUAUGCGUCAGAGAUGCUGCUUACUGGUAAUCAGAGGAUUGGCUUCCUUUGAAGUUUAAAAAUGUGUGUGUGUGUGGAGGGGGUUUGGGGUAGGCAGAGAAUCAUUUCUGGGUUCUUUAUCAUAAUUAAAGAGGAUUAUGAUUUUUUUUUAGGGUGAAACAAAUUUAGCAGAGCCAGAUCCAAAUUUUUCACCCUCUCCCUGCUCUGUAUCUCAUGUGGUAAGCCAUGUUAAAGAGUACUCUGGAAUUUAGUGCAAAACAAAGCAAGCAAUUUUUCCAGUUUCAUAAAUUAUCCUGAUCCACAUCUUUGGGGGAAUUAUGAACAGCUAAGUGAGGACAGAGCUGACCUUGUGGAUAAAACCACAGGCUGGACAUUUGGAGAUAGAGUUUCUAAUUUAGGUUCUAAUGCUAGCUUGCUUAGACCCUGUGGGAAGUCAUAUUAUUUCCAUGACCUUGGUUGGGUUACUUGCGUGUGCCAGAAACACAUAGCCCCAAGCUGCGGGAGAAAGUUGCUGGGAGGGUGGCUCUGAUGGAUUAGAAAUAUAGUGGUUUUCAAAAGUGAAGGGCGCUACUACAGAACCCUUUCUGUAGAAUUUGUUUGUAUGACAUUGUGCAUCACAGUGUUAGAAUAGUUCUAGAGAUGAGAGCCAUAGCUAAUAUUAGGUAAUGAUUUAUACAUCCUUUCUCACCUAGCCUUUUAACAUAGCUUUGAAGUCAAAAUAAUUCCACAAAUCUUCAUUACAUUCCAGUUAACACUGAUACCGGCUGUUUCCAAGGGUGAGAGUCAGGGCCAAGCAGUUAUAAGCAACCAGCCACAAUCAACUCAGAUAUGGGUUCUGUGUGUUAGAACUGUGAGAGCCAUUCCUUUAGCCUGACCUGAACUCCAGCUGUGAACUGUUUUGCCCUAUAGUUCAGCUGCUAUGGAUGUGUUUCAAUCCCUCUUGCUUUGGCAUUUGAGAAUGAUUCCACUGAUCUAUUACCUUGGAAUUCCACCUUUGACAUUUGCUCCUUACUUGAGAAAUUUAGAUCCAAAAAAGCAGAUUUUACAGUAACUGUGAACAGUAGCUCUAGAUGGCAGAUCCAUAAUAUAAUCAAGGUUUCCAGAGUGUGGCCCAUCUUGGUGUUAGUGCUGAAUUCAGAGAAAGCAGAGAAAAGGAUUGCUUUAUCUGCUCCUGUUAGGGAAUAGCUAGUGCCAUUGCCUUCUAAAUCCUGCACACUAUUUCCAGGUUAAUUUUACAGCUUCAGUUAUAUCCCCUUCCAGCCUCAGUAAACCAUUAAUGACUUCCCAAUUAUAUCAAUUAGCUUUCACUGCAAGCCAUUCCAAAACUUAGUGGACUAAAACAGUAAGUAUUUUCUUCUAGCAGUUUGGAGGGUUGUUUUUCUGGUGUGGAUUGGCUCUGUUAGGCUGGAAUGUCUAGGACAGCCUCAUUCAUAAAUCUGGAGAUAAGUAGGCUGGUGGGUCUAGGAGUCUUAUCUGACACAGCUUGUCUCAAGUUCACCUAUCAUCCUCCAGUAGGUUAUAUUUGCCUUCUUCGCACAUGACCUCGGGGUUCCUGAGAGCAGUAAGAGAGGGCAAACCCCAGUAUCUCAGUGCUUCUCAAAACUUUGCUUGCACCACACUUGCUAAUGUCCAACUAGCCAAGCCCAGAAUCAGAACAGGGACAGGGUGAUUGUUGCAUGGGGUCAUUGCUAUAAUGCCACUUAUAAGGUUCACAGUCAUUAACAUGGUAUUAAUUCAGUAUGAAUGCAAUCUAGCACCCCAGUACUGCCGCAUAUAUACCAAUAGCACUUAGACUCUGGCCAAAGUAAACUUACUGUUUCUAGUUGCUGCCACCCUUUCUGAUUUCCAUGCCAUUAUUCUUGCUCUUAUAUGUCAGAAUGCCUUUCCUCCAUUUGCUGCUCAGCCAAAUCCAUCACAGAAUAUUUUUUUUUUUCUUUUUUAAGCCCCUACAGUGUAUAAACAGUCUGCUAGGCUGGAAAUACAAUCUUCUAGAAGCCCAGGGCUACCUGUGCUGUAUUUGUUUUCUAGGGCUACUGUAACAAAGUCCCAUGGCUUAAGUGGCAUAAACAACAGAAAUGUUUUUUUCUCUCAGUUUUGGAAGCUGAGAUCAAAGUGUUAGCAGCAUUGGUUCCUUCUAAAGUCCAUGAGGGAAGAAUCUGUUCCAGGUUUCUCUCCUUGGCUUGCAGAUGGGUGUAUUUUCCCCGUGUCUUCAUAUGGUCUUAUCUUCUCUGUAUGUGUCUAUGUUUAAAUUUCCUCUUCUCCUAAGGACAUCGAUCGUAACGGAUUAGAGCCCCAUCCUUAUGGCCUUAUUUCCACUUACCCAUUUAAAGACCAUAUCACCAAGUAUAGUCACAUUCCGAGACACUGGGCAUAAGGACUUCUUACGAAUUUUCGGGGGAGAGGGACACAAUUCAGUCUAUAACAUAUCCUUUAAAAUCCCCCAUUCAAUUGUUGUCUCUUCUUUAAAGCCUUGAUAAUAACUUCUAGGUGAAAAUAAAUCUUACCUCCUUCUUAACCAUCUCUUGCUAAUGUAAUUACCUCUUUUAUGAUUCUGAUCAGUUUCUGCCUUGUACUGUAGUUAUAAAUACCUGUGUUGUUUUUCUCCCAUUCAUUCACUCAAUAUUUAUCAGGCACCAGCCACAUGUCAGGCAUUGUAGCAAAGGCCAGGUAAGGGAGGGCAGCAGACACUGCUAGUGUGCUGCCCAUUUUCACUGAUGCAGUUCCUGCCCUGGUGUCCUGUGUAAGCUCCACAACUCUCAGCCCCAUGGCUUUCUACCAGGCACCCAGAUCAGGUGGGAGUGCUGGGGAGCUAAUGCCUCUGGGAGCAGCCCCCACCCAGUGGUAGAUGGGAGUUAGUGGAUAAACAGCUCAGCUUCAUCUCCUCAGCCCUUCCUUUAUCCAAAGGUUGCUGGUGGAUAAGUACUUCUGAUUCCCACCCCAUGGGCCAUGGAAGCAUGAUUUCCCAUAGGUUCCCAGUAGGAUGGAGCCUCAGCUGCACAUGGAGAUAAUGCAUAUCUUUGUUAUUGGCUCCAUUCCCUGUUCUUGCCUUUUUUUU
rnacentral:lncRNA from 1 species